GGUUAAGCGACUAAGCGUACACGGUGGAUGCCCUGGCAGUCAGAGGCGAUGAAGGACGUGCUAAUCUGCGAUAAGCGCCGGUAAGGUGAUAUGAACCGUUAUAACCGGCGAUUUCCGAAUGGGGAAACCCAGUGUGAUUCGUCACACUAUCAUUAACUGAAUCCAUAGGUUAAUGAGGCGAACCGGGGGAACUGAAACAUCUAAGUACCCCGAGGAAAAGAAAUCAACCGAGAUUCCCCCAGUAGCGGCGAGCGAACGGGGAGGAGCCCAGAGCCUGAAUCAGCAUGUGUGUUAGUGGAAGCGUCUGGAAAGGCGCGCGAUACAGGGUGACAGCCCCGUACACAAAAGCGCAUGUGCUGUGAGCUCGAUGAGUAGGGCGGGACACGUGGUAUCCUGUCUGAAUAUGGGGGGACCAUCCUCCAAGGCUAAAUACUCCUGACUGACCGAUAGUGAACCAGUACCGUGAGGGAAAGGCGAAAAGAACCCCGGCGAGGGGAGUGAAAAAGAACCUGAAACCGUGUACGUACAAGCAGUGGGAGCACAGGUUUACCUGUGUGACUGCGUACCUUUUGUAUAAUGGGUCAGCGACUUAUAUUCUGUAGCAAGGUUAACCGUAUAGGGGAGCCGGAGGGAAACCGAGUCUUAAUUGGGCGUUAAGUUGCAGGGUAUAGACCCGAAACCCGGUGAUCUAGCCAUGGGCAGGUUGAAGGUUGGGUAACACUAACUGGAGGACCGAACCGACUAAUGUUGAAAAAUUAGCGGAUGACCUGUGGCUGGGGGUGAAAGGCCAAUCAAACCGGGAGAUAGCUGGUUCUCCCCGAAAGCUAUUUAGGUAGCGCCUCGUGAAUUCAUCUCCGGGGGUAGAGCACUGUUUCGGCUAGGGGGCCAUCCCGGCUUACCAACCCGAUGCAAACUGCGAAUACCGGAGAAUGUUAUCACGGGAGACACACGGCGGGUGCUAACGUCCGUCGUGAAGAGGGAAACAACCCAGACCGCCAGCUAAGGUCCCAAAGUCAUGGUUAAGUGGGAAACGAUGUGGGAAGGCCCAGACAGCCAGGAUGUUGGCUUAGAAGCAGCCAUCAUUUAAAGAAAGCGUAAUAGCUCACUGGUCGAGUCGGCCUGCGCGGAAGAUGUAACGGGGCUAAACCAUGCACCGAAGCUGCGGCAGCGACGCUGAUGCGUUGUUGGGUAGGGGAGCGUUCUGUAAGCCUGCGAAGGUGACCUGUGAGGGUUGCUGGAGGUAUCAGAAGUGCGAAUGCUGACAUAAGUAACGAUAAAGCGGGUGAAAAGCCCGCUCGCCGGAAGACCAAGGGUUCCUGUCCAACGUUAAUCGGGGCAGGGUGAGUCGACCCCUAAGGCGAGGCCGAAAGGCGUAGUCGAUGGGAAACGGGUUAAUAUUCCCGUACUUGGUGUUACUGCGAAGGGGGGACGGAGAAGGCUAUGUUGGCCGGGCGACGGUUGUCCCGGUUUAAGCGUGUAGGUGUGUGUUCCAGGUAAAUCCGGUUCACUUUAACACUGAGGCGUGACGACGAGGCACUACGGUGCUGAAGCAACAAAUGCCCUGCUUCCAGGAAAAGCCUCUAAGCAUCAGGUAACACGAAAUCGUACCCCAAACCGACACAGGUGGUCAGGUAGAGAAUACCAAGGCGCUUGAGAGAACUCGGGUGAAGGAACUAGGCAAAAUGGUGCCGUAACUUCGGGAGAAGGCACGCUGACACGUAGGUGAAGUGAUUUACUCAUGGAGCUGAAGUCAGUCGAAGAUACCAGCUGGCUGCAACUGUUUAUUAAAAACACAGCACUGUGCAAACACGAAAGUGGACGUAUACGGUGUGACGCCUGCCCGGUGCCGGAAGGUUAAUUGAUGGGGUCAGCGCAAGCGAAGCUCCUGAUCGAAGCCCCGGUAAACGGCGGCCGUAACUAUAACGGUCCUAAGGUAGCGAAAUUCCUUGUCGGGUAAGUUCCGACCUGCACGAAUGGCGUAAUGAUGGCCAGGCUGUCUCCACCCGAGACUCAGUGAAAUUGAACUCGCUGUGAAGAUGCAGUGUACCCGCGGCAAGACGGAAAGACCCCGUGAACCUUUACUAUAGCUUGACACUGAACAUUGAGCCUUGAUGUGUAGGAUAGGUGGGAGGCUUUGAAGUGUGGACGCCAGUCUGCAUGGAGCCGACCUUGAAAUACCACCCUUUAAUGUUUGAUGUUCUAACGUGGACCCGUAAUCCGGGUUGCGGACAGUGUCUGGUGGGUAGUUUGACUGGGGCGGUCUCCUCCUAAAGAGUAACGGAGGAGCACGAAGGUUGGCUAAUCCUGGUCGGACAUCAGGAGGUUAGUGCAAUGGCAUAAGCCAGCUUGACUGCGAGCGUGACGGCGCGAGCAGGUGCGAAAGCAGGUCAUAGUGAUCCGGUGGUUCUGAAUGGAAGGGCCAUCGCUCAACGGAUAAAAGGUACUCCGGGGAUAACAGGCUGAUACCGCCCAAGAGUUCAUAUCGACGGCGGUGUUUGGCACCUCGAUGUCGGCUCAUCACAUCCUGGGGCUGAAGUAGGUCCCAAGGGUAUGGCUGUUCGCCAUUUAAAGUGGUACGCGAGCUGGGUUUAGAACGUCGUGAGACAGUUCGGUCCCUAUCUGCCGUGGGCGCUGGAGAACUGAGGGGGGCUGCUCCUAGUACGAGAGGACCGGAGUGGACGCAUCACUGGUGUUCGGGUUGUCAUGCCAAUGGCACUGCCCGGUAGCUAAAUGCGGAAGAGAUAAGUGCUGAAAGCAUCUAAGCACGAAACUUGCCCCGAGAUGAGUUCUCCCUGAGACUUAGAGUCUCCUGAAGGAACGUUGAAGACGACGACGUUGAUAGGCCGGGUGUGUAAGCGCAGCGAUGCGUUGAGCUAACCGGUACUAAUGAACCGUGAGGCUUAACCUU
rnacentral:rRNA from 1 species